AAUAAAAACAGAUGCUUCUUCUUCCGCUGUUUUUUCCUGAUUCCUCGCUCCCUGUAGUGUAGAGUGUGGAGGAGGAUGAGUUCUUCUCCGCCUCGUUCUCGUGGCGACGGCGAGAAAAGACCCAGGUUUUUCGAUUCAAACGCCAAGGCCAUUUGUUGGUCCAAGGCUGAUAUUGUCCCUGGCCGUCACCCUGAGAGGUGGCGCAAAGACGCCGCCGGUAACAUUGUCUGCAAACGUUUUUACAACUGCAUCGGCUGCCUCUGCUACGAAUACGAUCACAUCAUUCCGUUUUCCAAAGGUGGUGAGUCAACAGCGGAUAAUUGUCAAAUACUUCAGUCAAGAGUUAACAGACUCAAAUCGGACAAAUAUGACAUUGAUGCUGAUCAAUUGAAAGACUACUCUUGUGAGGUUAAUUUUACUGAUGAAGGCCUUGCUGGGCCUUGCUGGGGUACCAAGAUGCUUGGGAGGUUGUAGAUAAAUGUUAUACCCAACAUGACAUUGAGAAUACUUUGUCUCCAAAUGAGAGUGAGGCUUUGUUGAUGAUAAAGAAGAAGGAUCAACAAGCACUUACCAUUACCUAUGAAGGUUUUGAGGACAUCAUGUUUGAGAUGGUGUCUAAUGCAUUCACCUCCAAGCAAGCUUGGGAGAUUUUGAAAAACUCCUUUUAAGGUGUUGACAAGGUAAUGAAGGUGUGCCUACAAAUUCUUUGUGGAGGGUUUGAAUCCUUGCAUAUGAAGUUGAAGGGUCAAAGGACAUAGAAUUGCUGACCAAUUGAUGGUUUCACUUCAAGCUUAUGAAGAAAGGUUCAAAAGAAGACAUGAUGAGUGUUUAGAAAAAGUCCUCAACGUCAAAGAUUCUUUGAAAGAAAAUGGAGGAGAAAAAACCAAAAAGGACAUUGUCUUGGAAGAGGAUGUGGUUGUGGCCAAAGAAGAGAAAGAUGAGUCUAUGACAAUUUUUAUAAUAAUGAAAGGAAACCCACUACAUAUCAUGGAAGAGAAAAAGGAAAAAGUAAUUUUGGUAGAACAAA